CUACGGGCCGCUGCAGUGGGGAAUAUUGCACAAUGGGCGCAAGCCUGAUGCAGCCAUGCCGCGUGUAUGAAGAAGGCCUUCGGGUUGUAAAGUACUUUCAGCGGGGAGGAAGGGAGUAAAGUUAAUACCUCUGCUCAUUGACGUUACCCGCAGAAGAAGCACCGGCUAACUCCGUGCCAGCAGCCGCGGUAAUACGGAGGGUGCAAGCGUUAAUCGGAAUUACUGGGCGUAAAGCGCACGCAGGCGGUUUGUUAAGUCAGAUGUGAAAUCCCCGGGCUCAACCUGGGAACUGCAUCUGAUACUGGCAAGCUUGAGUCUCGUAGAGGGGGGUAGAAGUCCAGGUGUAGCGGUGAAAUGCGUAGAGAUCUGGAGGAAUACCGGUGGCGAAGGCGGCCCCCUGGACGAAGACUGACGCUCAGGUGCGAAAGCGUGGGGAGCAAACAGGAUUAGAUACCCGGGUAGUC
rnacentral:rRNA from 1 species